UGGGGAAUCUUGCACAAUGGGGGAAACCCUGAUGCAGCGACGCCGCGUGAGCGAUGAAGGUUUUCGAAUCGUAAAGCUCUGUCCUAUGGGAAGAUAAUGACGGUACCAUAGGAGGAAGCCCCGGCUAACUACGUGCCAGCAGCCGCGGUAAUACGUAGGUCCCGAGCGUUGUCCGGAUUUAUUGGGCGUAAAGCGAGCGCAGGCGGUUAGAUAAGUCUGAAGUUAAAGGCAGUGGCUCAACCAUUGUAGGCUUUGGAAACUGUUUAACUUGAGUGCAGAAGGGGAGAGUGGAAUUCCAUGUGUAGCGGUGAAAUGCGUAGAUAUAUGGAGGAACACCGGUGGCGAAAGCGGCUCUCUGGUCUGUAACUGACGCUGAGGCUCGAAAGCGUGGGGAGCGAACAGG
rnacentral:rRNA from 1 species